GGAGAGGUGGCAGAGUGGUUGAAUGUACCUGACUCGAAAUCAGGCUUACCGCAAGGUAACGGGGGUUCGAAUCCCCCCCUCUCCGCCA
rnacentral:tRNA from 2 species